ACGCGCCGCACUAGGAACUGACGCAGGCGUUGCUUUGGCCGGUGUCUGGCCGGGCUCGGGCGCCAUGGAGCGCUACACGGGCGCCUUCGAGGAGGCGGUAGAUGGGGCCCGGCAGCAGGAGCGGCAUUACCAGCUGCUGUCCGCGCUGCAGAGCCUAGUAAAAGAGCUGCCAAGCUCCUUCCAGCAGCGCCUGUCCUACACCACGCUCAGCGACCUGGCCCUGGCGCUUCUCGACGGCACCGUGUUCGAGAUCGUGCAGGGGCUGCUGGAGAUCCAGCACCUCACCGAGAAGAGCCUGUACAACCAGCGCCUGCGGCUGCAGAAUGAGCACCGAGUGCUCAGGCAGGCGCUGCGACAGAAGCACCAGGAAGCCCAGCAGGCCUGCCGACCCCACAACUUGCCCGUGCUCCAGGCAGCUCAGCAGCGUGAGCUGGAGGCAGUGGAGCACCGGAUCCGUGAAGAGCAGCGGGCAAUGGACCAGAAGAUUGUCCUAGAGCUGGACCGGAAGGUGGCAGACCAGCAGAGCACACUGGAGAAGGCUGGGGUUGCUGGCUUCUAUGUGACCACCAACCCACAGCAGCCCUUCUGCACCCCAGGAGCUGACACUGCAGAUGAACCUGUUGGAACUCAUCAGGAAGCUGCAGCAGAGGGGCUGCCAGGUGGGGAAGACAGCCUUGUGACCAGGUGGGGUCUCUGCCAGUUACCUGCUGCCCAUCAUGGCUGAGAAGACAGCCCUGUUCCUGUCACCACAAGCAGUGGAAAGCUGAGUGCGACUUAUCUUCCCAACACCUGGCCACCACCUACCCAGCUGCCUGCAGGAGGGGUUGACCCUCUGAGGAGAGGCCAGGUGGACCCUGGCUGCACCUGCCACCCACCUUUGUCCGAUUUUGUUUUGUCCAAAGCUAGGAUGGUGUGGUAAAGGGAAGAGUGGGUCUGUUCUGCUGGCUGGCUGGCUGCCCCAUAGUCAGGGGAGAGUGGGGCUGGAGGUCCUAGCACCUUACCACUCCACUGGGCACAUCCUAACCUUUGCCAUGCCCCAUGUUCUGGUCUCCAUCCCUUCCUUGGCAGGUGCAGCCCGCUAAGUUAGUGGAAGACACUGCAAGGCCCAAGCCCUGUGAGGCCCAGAGAAAUAAAGAGCACAAAAGGUACCCCUGGCCCUCUGACAUCCAAGGACAAGGAUGGGGCAUCCAAGGCAGGAAAUGAGCACCUGGGAAGUCCCUAGGGAUGGAGAGAAGAAGGCAGAACAGUCCUGUCCAGCUGGGACUCCACUCGGCCCCCCACCCAUCCCACGGAAGCAGUCAGACACAACCCCGGCAGGGACUCUUGGGAGGGAGCCUCGUCAGUCUGCACUCAGCCCAGGUGGCACUGGUGGCCUCGGUGCUCUUGUCCCCACCCUGAUGGCCAUGACUGCUGUGCAUGAGAAAUCACGGUUUUCAGCUGCAGUUUCAGGCUGUAAAAAAGCAGUGCCAUCACAAGCAGAGAAUAAAUGCCUCGUCACUGAAUGGGUGUGGAGGGACCAGAGUCCAGUCAUCAGGCAGCACCCCGCAGGUGCCCAGCCUGGCUGUGCCCUGCCCUGGCUGUGCCUUCACCCCUCCUUCCCAGAGCCCAGCUCAGCCACAAGCCUUGGGUACUCUGCUUUGCUCCUGGGAAAGGCUGGGUCCAGCAAGGCUGCCGCCGCUGUGCUUUCUGCGGGGCCUCAAGCCCAGGAAGGUGGCGGCUUGGGCUGGAACCCCCCAUGUGGUGCUGCUUGGGUUAAGACAGAAAACACGAAAACAUGGUAAUGACACGAGUAUUUAAGAAUUUACUUCACCUUAUUCCUAUAUCUGACUUGUAUGGAUUCUACCAAAGUUUUACUCCACAGGAAAGGCAUUUAAAGAGAAAACAGACUAUAUUAAAU